CCUGGGAGCUCUCUGGGCUCGGAUCUAGUUCGAGGCGACAUGGUCAAACAUACCAAGAAAGUCGGGAUCGUCAGUAAAUACGGGACCCGCUAUGGGGCCUCCCUGUGGAAAAUGGUGAAGAAAACUGAAAUCAGCCAGCAUGCCAAAUACACUUGCUCUUUCUGUGGCAAAACCAAGAUGAAGAGACGAGCUGUGGGGAUCUGGCACUGUGGUUCCUGCAUGAAGACAGUAGCUGGUGGAGGCUGGACAUAGAAUCCCACAUCAGCUGUCAUGCUCAAGUCCACCAUCAGAAGAUCAAAGGAACUGAAAGACCAGUAGACGCUCCUGUACUCUUUAAGACAUCACUGGCCUAUAAUAAAUGGGUUAAUUUAUGUAA